UGGGGAAUCUUGCACAAUGGGCGAAAGCCUGAUGCAGCAACGCCGCGUGCGGGAAGAAGGCCCUCGGGUUGUAAACCGCUUUCAGAAGGAACGAAACUGACGGUACUUUCAGAAGAAGGUGCGGCCAGCUACGUGCCAGCAGCCGCGGUGACACGUAGGCACCAAGCGUUGUCCGGAUUUAUUGGGCGUAAAGAGCUCGUAGGCGGUUCAGUAAGUCGGGUGUGAAAACUUUGGGCUUAACCCAAAGCGUGCAUCCGAUACUGCUGUGACUUGAGUACGGUAGGGGAGCGGGGAAUUCCUAGUGUAGCGGUGAAAUGCGCAGAUAUUAGGAGGAACACCGGUGGCGAAGGCGCCGCUCUGGGCCGAAACUGACGCUGAGGAGCGAAAGCAUGGGUAGCAAACAGGAUUAGAUACCCCAGUAGUCCCUGAGCGGGCUGGCAAGGCG
rnacentral:rRNA from 1 species